UCGCCUGUUUUACAAAAACAUUGUCUUAUGAACAAAAUAUUAGAUAAUACCUGCCCAGUGACAUAGUGUUCAACGGCCGCGGUACCCUAACCGUGCAAAGGUAGCAUAAUCAUUUGCCUAUUAAUUGUAGGCUAGAAUGAAAGGGUUAACGAAAUAAAAGCUGUCUCAAUUAAUUACCUAAAAAUUAUUUUCUAUCCGAAGAAAGGUAGAUAAUCUCGAAGGACAAGAAGACCCUAUAGAGCUUAAUUUUAACUAUAGAACUACGCUAUAUAAAUAUUCGGUUGGGGCGACCCAGGGCUAAAUAAUCACCCAAUAAAUAAAAGAUAAAUUAAUCUAAUAAAUGACCCUUUAAAGAUCAUAAAAACAAGCUACCUUAGGGAUAACAGGCUAAUUCCACUUAAGAGUCCUUAUCAAUAGUGGGGUUUGGCACCUCGAUGUUGGCUUAGGGUAUCUCUAUAGCGCAAAAGUUAUAUAAAGAUGGUUUGUUCAACCAAUAAUUCCCUACGUGAUCUGUUUCCCAAACCCGGA
rnacentral:rRNA from 1 species